GGCAGUUUCCUAGCCUCCGCCUUUUCCUACCCAUGUUUUCCACGAAUCACGUUUCCCCCAAAAUUGGAUCGUGGGUUCAAUGCAGUUGCGGAUGGGUAGAAAGCAGUUGCCGAGCAGCCUUAUAUAAUGUAAUAUGUCUAUUAUCCUAUUUAUUGCUCACUUGAUUGAUUCCCCCGAACAAACUUCUGAAAUCUGGUGAGUUGCUUCUAAUUGAAUCCUUCAAUAAUAUCUUCUAAAAUCCAUUGUGUUAAUUACUUGAUGGAAGUGUUGAAGGUAAUUUUUCUGUCAUAAAUAAUUUCUGCCCUAAAUCGAUUUGCCCUAAUUAUGCUCUGGUCUAUUCUGUUAGUUUGUUCAAUAAACAUUGAUAGAUGUCAAGUAUGUUGAAAGUUUAAAUUUAUAAGUGUUUUUUUUUCAGUGCUAAUUUUGUUGUUCAGUGUGUACUGACUGUAGUUGGUUUUUUGGUUAAGAUGAUGAAGAAGAAUCCUUAGGCACGAAAAGAACAUGCGGCCACAGUGGGAGGUGUUUUGUAAGCAUUAAGUAUUCAUACAAAGAUGGUGAAUCUGAAAAUUUUGAUUGUUGUAGGCCUGUAGUGAUGUUUCUAAUAAUAAUCUUUGUGGUAAGAUACCCUUUGAUGGCCCUUUCACAAGCUUCCCAAUCGACGGAAUUCAAACUUAAGGGUUAUAAAGACAAACUUCAAAAGUUGAGUGGGAUGGCAUGUUAAGUGGGUUCAAGCAAUUCGAAAAGGUGAAUCUUCUGGUCUUGAAAUCGCAGGUUGAAAUCCAUUUGUCAAAAUCAAAUUUGACUAUUUGAAGCAUAUCCAAAGUAAUUGAGAAUGAGUAUGGAUAUAUAUUGAAUUUCUGAUACAGAGUAUUGGACAUGUGUUAUUUAUGU
rnacentral:lncRNA from 1 species